AAACCCCGAACAUGCCUCUCCUUGGCUUCCUAACUGCUACCUGCUCAUCCUCUUUCUCCAACCCCUCUUCUCUCCUUCUUUCACCCAACUCAACUCAAAUUUAAGGUCAUCCUAUUCCACCUGUCCUGUUGUAGUUGCUACAUUAGCCAGAUUCUCCAUACUGAGAGAGAGGUUUUCUUGUUCCUUCUGCUAUUCUGCC
rnacentral:lncRNA from 1 species